CUCCCACACUCUCCAGAUGGAGAAAUAAAAAUUCUAAUGCGACAACUGAAUUUUUAGUGGAUGCUGCGGUCCCACCAAUAUCGUGCACCUCACCUAACAGUUAUUGGUAAUACAAACAAACACCGAUGCAUGGAUAACUCUUUAUCCAGAUGCUUCUCUAAGCAUGUUGCAGUCACUUGGUCUCUAAGUCAUGUGAGCUCACCUAACAGUUAUUGCCCACACUCCUUAGUUAAGUCAGACCCACCGUUCA
rnacentral:lncRNA from 1 species